rnacentral:rRNA from 1 species
AACGAACGCUGGCGGCAGGCUUAACACAUGCAAGUCGAACGCCCCGCAAGGGGAGUGGCAGACGGGUGAGUAACGCGUGGGAAUCUACCCAGAUCUUCGGAACAACUGAGGGAAACUUCAGCUAAUACUGGAUACGCCCUACGGGGGAAAGAUUUAUCGGUUCUGGAUGAGCCCGCGUUGGAUUAGCUAGUUGGUGAGGUAAAGGCUCACCAAGGCGACGAUCCAUAGCUGGUCUGAGAGGAUGAUCAGCCACACUGGGACUGAGACACGGCCCAGACUCCUACGGGAGGCAGCAGUGGGGAAUAUUGGACAAUGGGCGAAGGCCUGAUCCAGCCAUGCCGCGUGAGUGAUGAAGGCCUUAGGGUUGUAGAGCUCUUUCAGUAGGGAAGAUAAUGACGGUACCUACAGAAGAAGCCCCGGCUAACUUCGUGCCAGCAGCCGCCGUAAUAC